GGCUCAGAACGUACGCUGGCGGCACGCCUAACACAUGCAAGUCGAACGAAGUAGCAAUACUUAGUGGCAGACGGGUGAGUAACAUGUAGGUAUCUGCCCUUUGGCCUGGAAUAACACGAGGAAACUUGUGCUAAUACCGGAUAAGUCUUUACGGAGAAAGCUUUAUGCACCAUUGGAUGAGCCUGCACUUGAUUAGUUUGUUGGUGGGGUAAUGGCCUACCAAGACUGUGAUCAAUAGCUGAUUUGAGAGGAUGAUCAGCCACAUUGGGACUGAGACACGGCCCAAACUCCUACGGGAGGCAGCAGUGGGGAAUCUUGCACAAUGGAGGAAACUCUGAUGCAGCGAUGCCGCGUGAGUGAAGAAGGCCCUUGGGUUGUAAAGCUCUUUCGUCGGGGAAGAAAAUGACUGUACCCGAAUAAGAAGGUCCGGCUAACUUCGUGCCAGCAGCCGCGGUAAUACGAAGGGACCUAGCGUAGUUCGGAAUUACUGGGCUUAAAGAGUUCGUAGGUGGUUGAAAAAGUUGGUGGUGAAAUCCCAGAGCUUAACUCUGGAACUGCCAUCAAAACUUUUCAGCUAGAGUAUGAUAGAGGAAAGCAGAAUUUCUAGUGUAGAGGUGAAAUUCGUAGAUAUUAGAAAGAAUACCAAUUGCGAAGGCAGCUUUCUGGAUCAUUACUGACACUGAGGAACGAAAGCAUGGGUAGCGAAGAGGAUUAGAUACCCUCGUAGUCCAUGCCGUAAACGAUGUGUGUUAGACGUUGGAAAUUUAUUUUCAGUGUCGCAGCGAAAGCGAUAAACACACCGCCUGGGGAGUACGACCGCAAGGUUAAAACUCAAAUGAAUUGACGGGGACCCGCACAAGUAGUGGAGCAUGUGGUUUAAUUCGAAGAUACGCGCAGAACCUUACCAACACUUGACAUGUUCGUCGCGACUCUAAGAGAUUAGAGUUUUCGGUUCGGCCGGACGAAACACAGGUGCUGCAUGGCUGUCGUCAGCUCGUGUCGUGAGAUGUUGGGUUAAGUCCCGCAACGAGCGCAACCCUCACUUUUAGUUGCCAUCAUUUAGUUGGGCACUCUGAAAGAACUGCCAGUGAUAAGCUGGAGGAAGGUGGGGAUGACGUCAAGUCCUCAUGGCCCUUACGUGUUGGGCUACACACGUGCUACAAUGGUAUCUACAACAGGAAGCAAAACUGCGAAGUUAAGCAAAUCCUUAAAAGAUACCUCAGUUCGGAUUGCACUCUGCAACUCGAGUGCAUGAAGCUGGAAUUACUAGUAAUCGUGGAUCAGCGUGCCACGGUGAAUGCGUUCCCGGGUCUUGUACACACCGCCCGUCACACCAUGGGAGUUGGUUCUACCUUAAGGCAAGGUUUAAAACCCUUGACC
rnacentral:rRNA from 1 species